rnacentral:rRNA from 1 species
ACUCCUACGGGAGGCAGCAGUGGGGAAUAUUGCACAAUGGGGGAAACCCUGAUGCAGCAACGCCGCGUGAGUGAUGACGGCCUUCGGGUUGUAAAGCUCUGUCUUCAGGGACGAUAAUGACGGUACCUGAGGAGGAAGCCACGGCUAACUACGUGCCAGCAGCCGCGGUAAUACGUAGGUGGCAAGCGUUGUCCGGAUUUACUGGGCGUAAAGGGAGCGUAGGCGGACUUUUAAGUGAGAUGUGAAAUACCCGGGCUUAACCUGGGUGCUGCAUUUCAAACUGGAAGUCUAGAGUGCAGGAGAGGAGAAUGGAAUUCCUAGUGUAGCGGUGAAAUGCGUAGAGAUUAGGAAGAACACCAGUGGCGAAGGCGAUUCUCUGGACUGUAACUGACGCUGAGGCUCGAAAGCGUGGGGAGCAAACAGGAUUAGAUACCCUGGUAGUC